rnacentral:rRNA from 1 species
GUAGGGAAUAUUGGGCAAUGGUCGGAAGACUGACCCAGCCAUGCCGCGUGCAGGAAGACGGCCCUCUGGGUUGUAAACUGCUUUUAUCUGGGAAGAAAAAGGCCAUGCGUGGCAAAUUGCCGGUACCAGAUGAAUAAGCACCGGCUAACUCCGUGCCAGCAGCCGCGGUAAUACGGAGGGUGCGAGCGUUGUCCGGAGUUAUUGGGUUUAAAGGGUGCGUAGGCGGCUGCUUAAGUCAGCGGUGAAAGACUUCGGCUUAACCGGAGCAGUGCCGUUGAUACUGGUUGGCUUGAGUGUCGGAGGGGUACAUGGAAUUGAUGGUGUAGCGGUGAAAUGCAUAGAUACCAUCAGGAACACCGAUAGCGAAGGCAUUGUACUGGCCGACAACUGACGCUGAUGCACGAAAGUGUGGGGAUCGAACAGGAUUAGAAACCCGUGUAGUCC